AGUGGUCAAAGAAUUGGAAGGUAGACCACGUUUUAAUGAGAUUUUUCAAGAAGACAAGUAUCCAGCAGAAUUCCCUUACAAAGGACCUAUAAAGGAGUUGUUUAGAAUGUGGUUGAGGUCAGCUCGUGAAGUGUCCCAGGUGGCUCUCCUAUAACAGGAUGGUGGCACGAUUGAUAUUUGCUCAUGAUAUUCGUCUUUCCAUGGGUGUGGUAAAACGAUGGAGGGUUUAUCACCUUAGGGUGUUCUUAGUCUCCUCAUUAUUUGUAUUGUCUUGGCUUACACAUAAUAGAAUCAAGGAUGACAGAAUAAUUCUGAAUUUCA